UUGGAGGGCAAGUCUGGUGCCAGCAGCCGCGGUAAUUCCAGCUCCAAUAGCGUAUAUUAAAGUUGUUGCAGUUAAAAAGCUCGUAGUUGAAUUUCGGGAUCAUCAGGUUGGUCGUGCCUCCGGUAUGUACUUUCCUCGAUGGUUCCUCCUUCUUGAAGAACCGUAAUGCCAUUAAUUUGGUGUUGCGGGGAAUCAGGACUGUUACUUUGAAAAAAUUAGAGUGUUUAAAGCAGGCAAUCGCUUGAAUACAUUAGCAUGGAAUAAUGAAAUAGGACGUUCGAUCCUAUUUUGUUGGUUUCUAGGAUUGACGUAAUGAUUAAUAGGGAUAGUUGGGGGCAUUAGUAUUCAAUUGUCAGAGGUGAAAUUCUUGGAUUUAUUGAAGACUAACUACUGCGAAAGCAUUUGCCAAGGAUGUUUUCAUUAAUCAAGAACGAAAGUUAGGGGAUCGAAGACGAUCAGAUACCGUCGUAGUCUUAACCAUAAACUAUGCCGACUAGGGAUCGGAUGAUGUUAAUUUUUUAAUGACUCAUUCGGCGCCUUACGGGAAA
rnacentral:rRNA from 1 species